rnacentral:tRNA from 1 species
AGAGACUUAGGUUAGCACUUCAGACCAAGAGCCUUCAAAGCCCUCAGCGGGAGUGAGAAUCUCCCAGUCUCUG